rnacentral:rRNA from 1 species
GUAUAGACCCGAAACCCGGUGAUCUAGCCAUGGGCAGGUUGAAGGUUGGGUAACACUAACUGGAGGACCGAACCGACUAAUGUUGAAAAAUUAGCGGAUGACCUGUGGCUGGGGGUGAAAGGCCAAUCAAACCGGGAGAUAGCUGGUUCUCCCCGAAAGCUAUUUAGGUAGCGCCUCGUGAACUCAUCUUCGGGGGUAGAGCACUGUUUCGGCUAGGGGGCCAUCCCGGCUUACCAACCCGAUGCAAACUACGAAUACCGAAGAAUGUUAUCACGGGAGACACACGGCGGGUGCUAACGUCCGUCGUGAAGAGGGAAACAACCCAGACCGCCAGCUAAGGUCCCAAAGUCAUGGUUAAGUGGGAAACGAUGUGGGAAGGCACAGACAGCCAGGAUGUUGGCUUAGAAGCAGCCAUCAUUUAAAGAAAGCGUAAUAGCUCACUGGUCGAGUCGGCCUGCGCGGAAGAUGUAACGGGGCUAAACCAUGCACCGAAGCUGCGGCAGCGACACUUAUGUGUUGUUGGGUAGGGGAGCGUUCUGUAAGCCGUUGAAGGUGUGCUGUGAGGCAUGCUGGAGGUAUCAGAAGUGCGAAUGCUGACAUAAGUAACGAUAAAGCGGGUGAAAAGCCCGCUCGCCGGAAGACCAAGGGUUCCUGUCCAACGUUAAUCGGGGCAGGGUGAGUCGACCCCUAAGGCGAGGCCGAAAGGCGUAGUCGAUGGGAAACAGGUUAAUAUUCCUGUACUUGGUGUUACUGCGAAGGGGGGACGGAGAAGGCUAUGUCAGCCGGGCGACGGUUGUCCCGGUUUAAGCAUGUAGGCGGAGGUUCCAGGUAAAUCCGGUACCUUGUUAACGCUGAGGUGUGAUGACGAGGCACUACGGUGCUGAAGUGAUAAAUGCCCUGCUUCCAGGAAAAGCCUCUAAGCAUCAGGUAACACGAAAUCGUACCCCAAACCGACACAGGUGGUCAGGUAGAGAAUACCAAGGCGCUUGAGAGAACUCGGGUGAAGGAACUAGGCAAAAUGGUGCCGUAACUUCGGGAGAAGGCACGCUGAUGUGUAGGUGAAGCCCCUGCGGGUGGAGCUGAAAUCAGUCGAAGAUACCAGCUGGCUGCAACUGUUUAUUAAAAACACAGCACUGUGCAAACACGAAAGUGGACGUAUACGGUGUGACGCCUGCCCGGUGCCGGAAGGUUAAUUGAUGGGGUUAGCGGCAACGCGAAGCUCUUGAUCGAAGCCCCGGUAAACGGCGGCCGUAACUAUAACGGUCCUAAGGUAGCGAAAUUCCUUGUCGGGUAAGUUCCGACCUGCACGAAUGGCGUAAUGAUGGCCAGGCUGUCUCCACCCGAGACUCAGUGAAAUUGAACUCGCUGUGAAGAUGCAGUGUACCCGCGGCAAGACGGAAAGACCCCGUGAACCUUUACUAUAGCUUGACACUGAACACUGGUCCUUGAUGUGUAGGAUAGGUGGGAGGCUUUGAAGCGUGGACGCCAGUCUGCGUGGAGCCAACCUUGAAAUACCACCCUUUAAUGGCUGGUGUUCUAACGUAGACCCGUAAUCCGGGUUGCGGACAGUGUCUGGUGGGUAGUUUGACUGGGGCGGUCUCCUCCCAAAGAGUAACGGAGGAGCACGAAGGUUGGCUAAUCCUGGUCGGACAUCAGGAGGUUAGUGCAAUGGCAUAAGCCAGCUUGACUGCGAGCGUGACGGCGCGAGCAGGUGCGAAAGCAGGUCAUAGUGAUCCGGUGGUUCUGAAUGGAAGGGCCAUCGCUCAACGGAUAAAAGGUACUCCGGGGAUAACAGGCUGAUACCGCCCAAGAGUUCAUAUCGACGGCGGUGUUUGGCACCUCGAUGUCGGCUCAUCACAUCCUGGGGCUGAAGUAGGUCCCAAGGGUAUGGCUGUUCGCCAUUUAAAGUGGUACGCGAGCUGGGUUUAGAACGUCGUGAGACAGUUCGGUCCCUAUCUGCCGUGGGCG